rnacentral:rRNA from 1 species
CGUGUCUCUAGUGUCAGCCGCCGCGGUAAUACGUAGGGGGCGAGCGUUAUCCGGAUUUACUGGGUGUAAAGGGAGCGCAGGCGGCGUGGCAAGUCAGAUGUGAAAACCCGGGGCCCAACCCCGGGACUGCAUUUGAAACUGCCAUGCUGGAGUGCCGGAGAGGCAAGUGGAAUUCCUAGUGUAGCGGUGAAAUGCGUAGAUAUUAGGAGGAACACCAGUGGCGGAGGCGGCUUGCUGGACGGUAACUGACGCUGAGGCUCGAAAGCGUGGGGAGCAAACAGGAUUAGAUACCCCUGGUAGUCCACGCCGUAAACGAUGAAUACCAGGUGUCGGGGGACAGAAGUUUCCCGGUGCCCGCAGCUAACGCACUAAGUAUUCCACCUGGGGAGUACCGUUCGCAAGAAUGAAACUCAAAUGAAUUGACGGG